rnacentral:rRNA from 1 species
CCUACGGGCGGCAGCAGUGAGGAAUAUUGGUCAAUGGGCGGAAGCCUGAACCAGCCAAGUAGCGUGCGGGAUGAAGGCCCUACGGGUCGUAAACCGCUUUUGCACGGGGAUAACACCCUCCACUAGUGGAGGUCUGCAGGUACCGUGCGAAUAAGGGCCGGCUAAUUCCGUGCCAGCAGCCGCGGUAAUACGGAAGGCCCGAGCGUUAUCCGGAUUCAUUGGGCUUAAAGGGAGCGUAGGCGGGCUUUCAAGUCAGCUGUAAAAUCGCGCGGCUCAACCGCGCCCCGCAGUUGAAACUGGACGCAUUGAGUUCACAACAGGCAGGCGGAAUUCGUGGUGUAGCGGUGAAAUGCAUAGAUAUCACGAGGAACCCCGAUUGCGAAGGCAGCCUGCCGGGGUGCGACUGACGCUGAGGCUCGAAGGUGCGGGUAUCAAACAGGAUUAGAUACCCCUGUAGUC